rnacentral:rRNA from 1 species
AAGCCUACGGGGGGCAGCAGUGGGGAAUAUUGCACAAUGGGCGCAAGCCUGAUGCAGCAACGCCGCGUGAGGGACGACGGCCUUCGGGUUGUAAACCUCUUUUAGUAGGGAAGAAGCGAAAGUGACGGUACCUGCAGAAAAAGCACCGGCUAACUACGUGCCAGCAGCCGCGGUAAUACGUAGGGUGCAAGCGUUAUCCGGAAUUAUUGGGCGUAAAGAGCUCGUAGGCGGUUUGUCGCGUCUGCUGUGAAAACUGGAGGCUCAACCUCCAGCCUGCAGUGGGUACGGGCAAACUAGAGUGCGGUAGGGGAGAUUGGAAUUCCUGGUGUAGCGGUGGAAUGCGCAGAUAUCAGGAGGAACACCGAUGGCGAAGGCAGAUCUCUGGGCCGUAACUGACGCUGAGGAGCGAAAGCAUGGGGAGCGAACAGGAUAGAUACCCCAGUAGUC